rnacentral:tRNA from 1 species
AUCUGGCUGGCUCAGUCAGUAGAGCGUACGACUCUUGAUCUUGGGGUUAUAAGUUCAAGUCCUACGCUGGGUG